AAUGAACGCUGGCGGCGUGCCUAACACAUGCAAGUCGAACGCGAAAGCCCGCAAGGGCAAGUAGAGUGGCGCACGGGUGAGUAAUGCACAAGAAUCUGCCCUUCUGUGAAGAAUACCUCUGAGAAAUCAGGGUUAAUACUGCAUAAGCCCGGAAACGGGGAAAGGUGGCCUCUUGCUACCGCAGAAUGGAUGAGCUUGUGUCCUAUCAGCUAGUUGGUGAGGUAAAGGCUCACCAAGGCAAAGACGGGUAGUCGGCCUGAGAGGGUGUACGACCACAAUGGGACUGAGACACGGCCCAUACUCCUACGGGAGGCAGCAGUGGGGAAUAUUGCACAAUGGGGGAAACCCGUGACCCAGCCAUGCCGCGUGAGUGAUGAAGG
rnacentral:rRNA from 1 species